rnacentral:tRNA from 1 species
GCCUUCGUGGUGUAAUGGUCAGCAAACUCGGCGCGUAAUGAGAAGUCCGAGGUUCGAGUCCCGGCGAGAGCA